UACGUAGGGUGCGAGCGUUGUCCGGAAUUACUGGGCGUAAAGAGCUCGUAGGUGGUUUGUCGCGUUGUUCGUGAAAACCGGGGGCUUAACCCUCGGCGUGCGGGCGAUACGGGCAGACUUGAGUACUGCAGGGGAGACUGGAAUUCCUGGUGUAGCGGUGGAAUGCGCAGAUAUCAGGAGGAACACCGGUGGCGAAGGCGGGUCUCUGAGCAGUAACUGACGCUGAGGAGCGAAAGCGUGGGGAGCGAACAGG
rnacentral:rRNA from 1 species